UGAGCAAGCCAGGCGGUCGCGCGGCACUAUGAUGUGCCGUGAGGAAAGUCCGGGCUCCAUAGGGCAAGGGUGCCGGAUAACGUCCGGCGAAGGCGACUUCAGGGAAAGUGCAACAGAAACAUACCGCCGAAACAGGGGCUUCCAGCCUGCUGUGGCAAGGUUGAAAUGGCGAGGUAAGAGCUCACCGGGCUGCGUGGAGACAUGCAGCCCGUGUAAACCCCACCCGGAGCAAGACCAGAACAGGGCGCGAAAGGCAGUUGCCCGCUGCCGCCCGGAAGGUAGGUCGCACGAGGCCUGCGGUAACGCAGGUCCCAGAUAGAUGAUCGUCAGAUACAGAACCCGGCUUAUGGCUUGCUCAAAUU
rnacentral:RNase_P_RNA from 1 species